rnacentral:rRNA from 1 species
ACAUCCAGAGAAUUUGGCAGAGAUGCCUUAGUGCCUUCGGGAACUCUGAGACAGGUGCUGCAUGGCUGUCGUCAGCUCGUGUUGUGAAAUGUUGGGUUAAGUCCCGCAACGAGCGCAACCCUUAUCCUUUGUUGCCAGCACGUAAUGGUGGGAACUCAAAGGAGACUGCCGGUGAUAAACCGGAGGAAGGUGGGGAUGACGUCAAGUCAUCAUGGCCCUUACGAGUAGGGCUACACACGUGCUACAAUGGCGCAUACAAAGAGAAGCGACCUCGCGAGAGCAAGCGGACCUCAUAAAGUGCGUCGUAGUCCGGAUUGGAGUCUGCAACUCGACUCCAUGAAGUCGGAAUCGCUAGUAAUCGUAAAUCAGAAUGUUACGGUGAAUACGUUCCCGGGCCUUGUACACACCGCCCGUCACACCAUGGGAGUGGGUUGCAAAAGAAGUAGAUAGCUUAACCUUCGGGAGGGCGUUUACCACUUUGUGAUUCAUGACUGGGGUGAAGUCGUAACAAGGUAGGCGUAGCGAG